CUCCGGUUGAUCCUGCCGGACCCGACUGCUAUCGGAUUGAGAUUUAGCCAUGCGAGUCGAACGUCCCCCUGUUGCGGGGGGCGUGGCGUACGGCUCAGUAACACGUAGUCAACCUGCCCUGGAGACAAGGACAACCCCGGGAAACUGGGAUUAAUCCUUGAUAGGUCAUCUCAUCUGGAAGGAGAGAUGGCUUAAAGGGGUACGUGGGCUUCUUCCGCGAAUUCGCUCCAGGAUGGGACUGCGUCCGAUCAGGCUGUUGGCGGGGUAAUGGCCCACCAAACCUGUAACCGGUACGGGCCUUGAGAGAGGUGGCCCGGAGAUGGACACUGAGAGAAGGGUCCAGGUCCUACGGGGCGCAGCAGGCGCGAAACCUUCGCAAUGCGCGAAAGCGUGACGAGGUUAAUCCGAGUGAUUUCCGCUGAGGAGAUCUUUUGUCAGCUGUAAAUAGGCAGGCGAAUAAGGGGAGGGCAAGCCUGGUGUCAGCCGCCGCGGUAAUACCAGCUCCUCGAGUGGUCGGGGCGAUUAUUGGGCCUAAAGCAUCCGUAGCCGGUUCCGUAGGUCCUCUGUUAAAUCCAACCGCUUAACGGUUGACCUGCAGAGGAUACCGCGGGACUAGGAGGCGGGAGAGGCGGACGGUAUUCCGCGUGUAGGGGUAAAAUCCUUUGAUCCGCGGAGGACCACCAGUGGCGAAGGCGGUCCGCCAGAACGCGCUCGACGGUGAGGGAUGAAAGCUGGGGGAGCGAACCGGAUUAGAUACCCGGGUAGUCCCAGCCGUAAACGAUGCUAGCUAGAUGAUUCAUUCGCAAGUCGCGAAUGAAGUGUCGCAGGGAAGCCGUUAAGCUAGCCGCCUGGGGAGUACGGUCGCAAGACUGAAACUUUAAAGGAUUUGGCGGGGGAGCA
rnacentral:rRNA from 1 species